AAUUAUCACAGAUCCUAUUCCUAGAAAAAUGUAUCAGAGCGUAAAGGAAGCCGUUGCACAAAGUGCCCUUACGGUCUUGAAACGGGCUGUCACAGGAAGUAUAAAAAAGCUGCGUACAGAGCAUUCUUUGAUCUGGAACGAGCUUUGGUCAUCAGGGUUCUGCAUUAGCCACUCCAAAGCAGAGAAUGCAGUUAAUGGAGAUCUUAUUAAUGCUACCCUUUAUCAUGUCUUAUCACAGGCAAGAGCUCCCCUUC